GCGCAACAGCUGCAACGCCAUCCAAUUAUUGCCGAUCCUCCCCUCCAACACUGCUCUCAUCACCUAUAUACUCUUCUCUCUGCCCGUCUCUGCUUCCCCCCCCUUCCCCCCCCCCUUUUCUCCCGGCCGACGGAGCUGAAGGGGCGGGGGUUCCUUCCUUGGAGUGUUUCUAGAGCUCGGAGGCUGCUGGUAGGGGGGCACCACUUUCAGAUAAAAACAUAGACCUGAAUGGCAUCAUCCAGUAUCCAAGGAAACCAUGUUCUCUAAACAUGAAUAUGCCUUUGGGGGAAGACAGAAGAACAUGGAAGCCAUGUGAAAAAAACGGAUCCUAAGGCAGUUUUGAACAUCUGGAGGCCUGAUUUAUUGGAGAUUGCAAAUGUACAGUGUAACAUAGCUGUGGAGAGCGAGAAGAUCAGGAUUGUCAAUGCUGUCAUUGCUUUUACUGGAAUCCCCAGCACGAAUUGAAGGUCUCACUUUGCCACCUAGGCUGGAUGCAAUGCAACGGUAUGUUGAUCUUGGUUCACUGCAGCCUCAACCUCCUGAGCUCAUGUGAUCCUCCCACCUCAGUCCCCCACGUCGCUUGGAUUACAGGCCUGUGCCACCACACCUGGCUAACUUUUUUUGUAAUUUUUGUAGAGACAGGGUCUCACUAUGUUUCCCAUGCUGGUCUUUAAUGCCUGAGCUCAAGCCAUCCGCCUGCCUCGGCCUCCCAAAUUGCUGGGAUUACAGGCAUGAGCCACCAUGCCCAGCCUAAUUCUUCUAAAUCUUAUCCUAGUAAUUAAGCCAGAAUUUUUCUCUGCCAAGACCAAUAGAUGGACCAAGAAGUACUCAUCCUUGUAAACUUUCUUUGGAUAAAUUGCUUACAUAUAAUAAAUUCAGAGUUAAGUAAUAAAAAUAAUGAACUACUGUCUUGAAUUAUUUGUUCUCAAAUAAUUUCCCUUAAACCCAUUCACACUCGUAUCAGUUUCUUCAUGUCCUUUCAUCCUGAGGGCAGCACACGGCCCUGUGAGAGAUGCACAGUAAUCCUACUAGCCGUGAACUGAGUCUGGAUGCUCCUUUCUCCUGCACAGAAAAACUGCUGAGACUCACUACCCCAUCCAAUCUAA
rnacentral:lncRNA from 1 species